GGAACCGUAACUGUUGAAUUAGAAAUCCCUCAUUCGAUUCAAUCUCCAACUCCAUUUCAUUUUUCGAAUCAAGCCCCAACUCCAUUCUCUGAACUGUCAUGAAACCUAACUUUAUUUUAGAAAAUGAAUCUAAACCUAACUUCAUCCUGUUUCUUUCUUCUUUUUUUAUUCAAAUCUCUGAUUCAAUCUACGAUCUCUGAGGAAUCGUUGGUAGUGUGUCGAAUCAGCUUGAGUUGUGCAAGAAACGUGCCUUGCUACUUGGAAUGCGGAGGAAGCCUAAGUUGGAAGAGGGAUAUGGAGUCUAGGUUGGCAAAAUUCAGGUAACUUAUCGUCCAAUGGCAAUAAAGAACCAAUCCAGUGAUGAUUUUGGCCAUGCAUUGUAAAUCCCCAUGGUGCUGAGCCAUCGUUCUGAUUUUUUGCCACCUUGGCCCCGUUUGAGUAGAGGGAUUUUAACAGUUCCCUUCAAACAACAAAGUCCAAACUCUGACUGCUUAUUCUUCUGGAUUUCGUUGGUCCUCUCUUCAUCCCACAUCAUUGCUUGACAAUGAGGGCAUACUGCAGUUGAACCCCCCGACAUCAUGCUUUGUCAGCUCCAUCAUUGGUCAAUAUAGAAGAUUCAGUACAAUGGUAAGUUUCGAUUAGACCUUGAAUCCAUGCUACUUUACAGUUUAAGCAUGCUUAACUUACAUGUAUAUGGGAACUUUUCUUCUGAUUCAUAACCUUCAUGAAUUUCCUCAUUUUUGUCACCCUCUUUAUGCCCUAAUGUUCAAAACAACAAUAUGCACAUUAACACGUAAAAAACAUAUAAAAGAAGCCUUUGACUGUACCAUAUAUAAAAGAACAGGCAAAACAUGUUACCAUCCAUGUAACUUGCAGCGAAGGUUUUUGCUCGUUUCUUUGCAGUUGUCGAUUCGUCCUCUGUUGAUGCUGGUAAUAAUUUGGAUUUAAAAGUAUCAACACAUGGUAUCUUGCUCUUUGCAAAGAACAAAUCACUAUAAAAUUUUAAACUUAGGUUAGGUAAUUCAUCAAAUGCUGUCAAGAAUUUGUAAACCUUUAGUAUCAAGCUGAUAAAGCUGAUACCAAUAAUUUUACAUGUAGUCUAGGUAAUUUCGGGUGAAUAACGCCCAGUCAAAUAUUAAUAAUGUCCGGUUAAAUUUCGGGUGUAAGCUGAGUGUGAAUGGAAUAUUAAUGUGUUCACCAAUAACGAAUUGCCAAAUGUCCUCUCCAGAUUUACUAAUGCCCAAAGUUUUGAAAAGUUUUGAAGGGGGUGUCACGUUCACCGUGCCACGGGGAAACGGAUAUGACUUAGUGUUUUAAAGAAGUGGAGAUUAUAACAAUAUUUUCCCUGAAAACUACACAUCAUCAUGGUGUCUUAUCGUAUCCAAUUCCCAAUGUUAACUUUUGGGAGCGGGUGUACAACAAUUAUCUAAUAGGUCAAAUUAAAAAAGUGAAAGUAACAUUUUUUCCAUAAACGAAGGCAGUACAGGAUUUAGGUAUGUUCAAAAAAAAAAAAAAAAAAAAGGAAAG